CGCACAAGCGGUGGAGCAUGUGGUUUAAUUCGACGCAACGCGCAGAACCUUACCAGCCCUUGACAUGUCCAGGACCGGCACCAGAGAUGGAGCCUUCUCUUCGGAGCCUGGAGCACAGGUGCUGCAUGGCUGUCGUCAGCUCGUGUCGUGAGAUGUUGGGUUAAGUCCCGCAACGAGCGCAACCCCCGUCUUUAGUUGCUACCAUUUAGUUGAGCACUCUAAAGAGACUGCCGGUGAUAAGCCGCGAGGAAGGUGGGGAUGACGUCAAGUCCUCAUGGCCCUUACGGGCUGGGCUACACACGUGCUACAAUGGCGGUGACAAUGGGAUGCUAAGGGGCGACCCCUCGCAAAUNUCAAAAAGCCGUCUCAGUUCGGAUUGGGCUCUGCAACUCGAGCCCAUGAAGUUGGAAUCGCUAGUAAUCGUGGAUCAGCAUGCCACGGUGAAAUACUUUCCCGGGCCUUGUCACACGCCCGGA
rnacentral:rRNA from 1 species